CAGUCGCCGCGGGAAUACGUAGGGUGCGAGCGUUAAUCGGAAUUACUGGGCGUAAAGCGUGCGCAGGCGGUUGUGUAAGACAGGUGUGAAAUCCCCGGGCUUAACCUGGGAACUGCGCUUGUGACUGCACAGCUAGAGUAUGGCAGAGGGGGGUGGAAUUCCACGUGUAGCAGUGAAAUGCGUAGAGAUGUGGAGGAACACCGAUGGCGAAGGCAGCCCCCUGGGCCAAUACCGACGCUCAUGCACGAAAGCGUGGGGAGCAAACAAGAUUAGAUACCCCUGUAGUCCCUGUCUCUUAUAC
rnacentral:rRNA from 1 species